AUAAGAUAUCAAGGGCAACAGGUGAAUGCCUUGGCGCUGAGAGGCGAUGAAAGACGCGGUAAGCUGCGAUAAGCAUCGGGGAGGAGCUAAACAUCCUACGAUCCGAUGAUUUCUGAAUGGGGAAACCCGAUGGGAGUCAUGUCCCAUCAUCCUGAGCUGAAUAUAUAGGCCCAGAGAAGCCAACCCGGGGAAGUGAAACAUCUCAGUACCCGGAGGAAGAGAAAUCAAACGAGACUCCCAAAGUAGCGGCGAGCGAAAUGGGAAGAGCCCAAACCGAGUGGUUUCGACCAUUCGGGGUUGUAGGGCUGGCAUACGCGAUUCUGGAGUAGGCAGAGGAAGUGAGCUGGAAAGCUCCGCCACAGCGGGUGAUAGCCCCGUACUCGAAACCGAAAAGGACGCAGCCGGUACCUGAGUACUGCGAGGCACGUGGAACCUCGUGGGAAUCUAGGGGGACCAUCCUCUAAGGCUAAGUACUCCUCAGCGACCGAUAGUGAACUAGUACCGUGAGGGAAAGGUGAAAAGAACCCCUGUUAGGGGAGUGAAAUAGAAUCUGAAACCUGUUGCCUACAAGCUGCGAGAGCUGCUUCGGCAGUGAUCGCGUGCCUUUUGUAUAAUGAGUCAGCGAGUUACUCUACCGUGCGAGGUUAAGCGAAAGCGUAGCCGUAGUGAAAGCGAGGCUUAAUAGGCCGACUAGUACGUUGGAGUAGACCCGAAACCGGGUGAUCUAUCCAUGAGCAGGUUGAAGCAAGGGUAAAGCCUUGUGGAGGACCGAACCGUCAACGGCUGAAAACGUUCCGGAUGACUUGUGGAUAGGGGUGAAAGGUCAAUCAAACCCGGUGAUAGCUGGUUCUCCCCGAAAUAUAUUGAGGUAUAGCCUCGGGAAUUGAUUAGCGGAGGUAAAGCACUGACAGAGCUAGGGGUCCUACCAGAUUACCAAACUCUAUCAAACUCAGAAUGCCGCUUAAUCGUAUCCCGGGAGUCAGACGGCGGGUGCGAAGGUUCGUCGUCAAAAGGGAAACAGCCCAGACCAACAGCUAAGGUCUCCAAAGAGAUAGUUAAGUGGAAAACGAUGUGAAAAUGCAAAGACAACCAGGAUGUUGGCUUAGAAGCAGCCAUACAUUAAAAGAGUGCGUAAUAGCUCACUGGUCGAGAGGUCCUGCGCCGAAAAUGUCCGGGGCUGAAACACACUACCGAAGCUCAGGAAUUAACGUAGUUAAUUGGUAGAGGAGCAUUCUUAAAGGGAAGAAGCAGUACCGGAAGGAGCUGUGGACUUUUAAGAAGAGAGAAUGCCGGAAUGAGUAGCGAGAGGAAGGUGAGAAUCCUUCCGGCCGAAUACCCAAGGUUUCCAGAGUAAAGCUGAUCUGCUCUGGGUAAGUCGGGGCCUAAGGUGAGGUCGAAAGACGUAGCCGAUGGACAACAGGUUGAAAUUCCUGUACUGCAGUAUAACAGAACUGUGGGGACGCAGAGGGAGAGCACUAGCGGGAAUGGAAUCCCGUGGCAAGCGAGGUAGGAGUAGAGUUGGCAAAUCCGCUCUAUAAUCCGAAGACGUGAUGCAUACCGAACAAAAGUAGGGAAAUGUGUGAGCCAGCUGCCAAGAAAAGCCGCUAUUGUUUGUACUGUACCCGUACCGUAAACCGACACAGGUAGGUGAGGAGAGAAUCCUAAGGCCGACGGGAGAAGCAUUGUUAAGGAACUCGGCAAAAUGACUCCGUAACUUCGGGAGAAGGAGUGCCAGUGAGAGCUGGCCGCAGAGAAUUGGCCCAAGCAACUGUUUAGCAAAAACACAGGUCUAUGCAAAACCGUAAGGUGAAGUAUAUGGGCUGACGCCUGCCCGGUGCUGGAAGGUUAAGGGGAGAGGUUAGCGCAAGCGAAGCUUUGAACUUAAGCCCCAGUAAACGGCGGCCGUAACUAUAACGGUCCUAAGGUAGCGAAAUUCCUUGUCGGGUAAGUUCCGACCC
rnacentral:rRNA from 1 species